AGUGAACGCUGGCGGUAGGCCUAACACAUGCAAGUCGAACGGCAGCACAGUAAGAGCUUGCUCUUACGGGUGGCGAGUGGCGGACGGGUGAGGAAUACAUCGGAAUCUACUUUUUCGUGGGGGAUAACGUAGGGAAACUUACGCUAAUACCGCAUACGACCUACGGGUGAAAGCAGGGGAUCUUCAGACCUUGCGCGAUUGAAUGAGCCGAUGUCGGAUUAGCUAGUUGGCGGGGUAAAGGCCCACCAAGGCGACGAUCCGUAGCUGGUCUGAGAGGAUGAUCAGCCACACUGGAACUGAGACACGGUCCACACUCCUACGGGAGGCAGCAGUGGGGAAUAUUGGACAAUGGGCGCAAGCCUGAUCCAGCCAUACCGCGUGGGUGAAGAGGGCCUUCGGGUUGUAAAGCCCUUUUGUUGGGAAAGAAAAGCAGCAGGUUAAUACCCCGCUGUUCUGACGGUACCCAAAGAAUAAGCACCGGCUAACUUCGUG
rnacentral:rRNA from 1 species